CUUCGCCAAGUUCAACGUCUUCUCCUUCUUUCCUAGAAUCACCAAGCUCGUGUUCCGAAAGCUGUGGAACACGCUCGUAGCCAUACGCCGCAGGCAGGAGGAGCUCUUCAUCCCUCUUAUAAGAAAGCGGAGGGAGCGCUACCAGCAGCUGCAGAAUCAAGAAGAAGAGGGCGACUUCGUUUAUUCUUACGUCGAUUCAGUUCUUGGUCUUCGCCUGCCCGAGGAAGGAGGACGGGAGCUCACCGACGGCGAGAUAGUGAGCCUCUGCUCCGAGUUCCUGAGCGCCGGCACCGACACGACAGCUACCGCGCUGCAGUGGAUCAUGGCGCACCUCGUGAAAGACCAGCACGUGCAGCGGAAGCUGUUCGACGAAAUCA
rnacentral:lncRNA from 1 species